UUUUUUGUUUAAUGAUCAUAUUUUCUUAUUCAAAUUUAAAAAAACAACAACCACAUAGUCUUUACACAUUGGGCCAGCCUGAAAUAAUAGAAUAAAAAUGAGCUUGACCCGGCCCAUCCCAAACGAGUUUAGGACAUAUACCCUCAGAAAUAGGGUUUCCUAAAACAUUCCUCAUUUUCCACCCACUCUAUCUGAAAAUUGAUGUCGCCGCCUGCCAUCCUCUGCGUCUAUUACCCAUUUGCACAAGUAUGAAGCUACUUCCCCCUUUAUGUUUUUGUUCUAGUUUCCUCUCCGGUUAACUUGCUUCCUCUAUCCAAAUUCUAGUUGAAAUCUUCGAUGGAUGCUUGAGAUGAUCUCCUCUAACCUUGUAUCAGUCAGGAAGAAGAUUGCAUUUGGAAUCUAGCCAUCGCCUAGGUUACACAGUAACUUGCCAUAGAUCCACUUCCUUUUUGCUGAUAGAACCUUUUGUAGUCUUGUGUAUAGUAGACCUAGCAACAGAUUACUUAUCAUUUUGAAGAAAGAACCAUUUGUAAGCUUCUGUAUAUUAGACUUGCUUAAUCUAUCUUUUCACCCCUUUUAAGGUGACAAUCUCAAGUAUGGUGUCUGAGAUUUAUCACUGUUGAGUAUUUUCUUUCCUGUUGUUUGCAUCUGUUGAAAACUUGUGAAUGUGAAUUCAUUUACUUUAAAUGCAUGAUUAGCAAAGUAAUCAGCCAAUUUAUUCCCUUCUCUCAGAAUGUGCUAAAGCUGGACUGUUAUAUGUUACAGUAACUUCCAUAUUUGAUUAACUUUAUCCUCUAUACUCCAUGGACAAUCCCAUAGUUUUUCUAAAAACUUCAGCAUACUUAAUGAAUCAGUUUGUAUGACUACUUUGCUAAUAUGUGCCUUGUUGCAAUGUAAUGCUGCUUGUAGUAUAGCUUCUGCUUCUGCUUGUAAAUUUGUAGUAUCUUCCAUGAUUGUAACUUUUGCAUACACUAAAUCCCCCCUUUCAUCCGUCACACAAAAUGCAGAAGAACUUGCCCCUGGAUUCUCCCUAGAGGCUCCAUCUGUAUUGAUUUUACUCCAUCCUUGUUGAGGAAAAUCCCAUUUCACCUUUGUGACUUUCAUCCUUGUUUUGUGCCUUGCCAACUCUGCAAAUAUUUCUGGCCAUGUAUUGAGAAAUUCUUGGUAUGGCUUCCUUACUUUCAGUAGUAAUCUGAUGUUUCUGAUAACGUUGUGUUGUACACUAUGCUCUGAUAUCUGUUUCCCUUCAUAUUUCCCUUUGUUUCUUCUUCUCCACAGCUCCUAAAUAAUGAUGCUAGGAUCAACUAGAUAAUAGCUUCUAUCUCUGAGUCUUAACAUCUUCAUUCCACCAUUCCAUUACAAUCUUCCUAAAGUUUAGUCCUUGUAUAUUUAUACCUGCAAAAUAAGAAAAGUAGGACCAUGUCCUGUUAGUAAUAGGAGCUCUCAGAAACACAUGUGAAAUAGUCUCCUGAACAUGGGUGGUACAACACCAAUAUUUGGUAGGUCCUUCUACCCCCCACCUUCUAAUAGCCUCCUCAAUUGGUAUUUUUCCUUUCCAAAUUCUCCACAUUAGAAAGGAGAAUUUAAAAGGUAGUCCUUUUAUUCACAUUUCCUUGAAAAUUUCACUCUUUUCCUUCCCCUAUCUAAUAUACUUCCAGGAAGACUUCACAGUAAAUUUCCCAUUAGAUUGAAGCAUCCAAAUGGAUUUAUCAUUUCCCCUACUCCCAUCUGGUGGCUGUACAUUACCAUGAUGUGAGUAGUAAUUUCCCCUGGUAUCAGCUGAUUCAACACAUUAACAUUUUAUGUUUCUUGACUUUGUCAAAUUAAUUAUAUUCUGAAACCUAUCAUCCCACAUCAAGUCAUUAUCUGUAAUAUGGUACAGACUCUCUAAUGUUGUCCAAUUAUCCCACCAAAUGCUAGAUUCUCCAUUCUUGACUUUCCACAAUAUUUGAUGCUCUGUCAAAUCUCUAGCUUGUAGCAUUUUCUUCCAUACUUGUGAACCCCCAGCUCCUUUGUUCCACAGAAUCAUAUUAGGAUGUUCUUUCUUACAGUACUUAUUAUGCAUAUAGUCCACCCAAAUAGACCUUUUGGUUCUGAAGUUCCACCAUAGCUUACAAAACAAAGCCAUAGAAACAUCUUUUAACAAUCUGAAACCUAACCCUCCUUCUUCCUCAGGCAUACACAUAACUUGCCACUUCACCCAGUGCCUACUCUUGUACCCUAUGUAGCUGCUCCAAAAAAAUUGAGCAAGCAUUUUCUGUAUUUGAUUCAGAACAUUCAUUGGGGGAUUCAUUACUGAUAAAGAGUGAACUGGAAUACUCUGAAGAACAUGUUUAAUCAGAAUAGCCCUUCCCCCAUAUGACAGUAAUUUACCCUUUCAACACUGAAAUUUACCACUUAUUCUAUUCAUCAACCCCUGAUAGUGAUCUUUCUUCUUUCUUAUAUGAAAAAUAGGACAACUAAGGUAUGUAAAAUGGAAAUCAUUCCUCAUAAUUCCUGUUAUCACCUCUGCUAUAGCCACUACCCCAUAAGACACAUUUUUAUGCAAAUAUAUAACACUCUUAUCCUUAUUGAUCCUCUUACCUGAAGCUCUCUCAUACUUUUCUAAAGAUUCUGUCAACAACCUCAAAGUAUUGAUCUAUGCCUUGCAUAAAAUGAUCAUAUCAUCAGCAAAAGCUAAAUGAUUCAACUUAGAACUUCCUCUAGGCAUCCCAAAAGUUUUAAACUCUUUAGUCAACAAUAACUUUUUAUGAGAGCUGGACAUUACCUCAGCUGCUAUAAUAAAUAGUGUUGGUGACAGAGGAUCUCCUUGUUUCAAACCUCUAGAUGAUCUAAAGAAACCCUUAGGUUGACCAUUUAAAAUGAUUGAAUACCAAUUAUUACUCAACAACCUAUACACCAUAUCUAUAAUAAGUUCUCCAAAACCCAUUUUUCUCACAACUUUUAUCAAAAAAACCAUUCAACCCUAUCAUAUGAUUUCAUCAUAUCCAACUUUAAGACCAUGUUAGGAGGCUUACCUCUUUUAUUAUUUUCUGACACAAUCUCCUGUACCACCAGGAUAUUCUUUGCUAUACCCCUUCCAUUUACAAAUUCAGCUUGCUCUUCUGAAAUAAUCCCUGGUAACAGUUUCUUAAUUCUAUCAUGUAUGAUUCUUGAAAAAAUCUUGUUGACAAAAUUACAUAAAGAAAUUAUCCUAAAGUCAGAGAAAGUAUUAAGCACCAACUUCUUUGGUAACAUUACUAAAUUUAUGUGGGUAAUAAACUUGCGCAGUUCAUAUCCACCAAAAAAAGUUUUUACCAUUUCAUAAAUGUCAUUCCUAAUAAUUUCCCAAGAAUCUUGAUAGAAGGCUCCAUUCAUACCAUCUGGUCCUCCUGCACUAUUUUUGCUAAGCCCCAUCACAGCUUCUUUGACUUCCUACAUUGUUGGAUAUGUAAUCAAUUCCUCAUUCUGCUUCGAAUCAAUUAACUCUAGUAUUUCCUCCAAAAUAGAAAAGUCUUCACAUUGCUGCCCUUUGGUAAACUGCUUCUCAAAGAAUCUGAUUACAGCCUUUGAAAUGUCAGCCUGAUUAUCCAUCCACUCCCCUUAUUCAUUUUGAAUUCUACUCACCUUUAGACUAUUUCUUCUCCCUCUUACAAUAGUAUAGAAAAAUUUAGUGUUUCUCUCACCAUUCUUAAACCACUCAAAGCCUGAUUUUUGUUUCCAGAAAUCAUUCUCGCUUCUGAGCUGCAUAUUCAACUUUGCCUAGGAUUUGAUCAAUUUAUCUCUAUUCUCUCCAGUUGGAUUCUAAUCAAAUUGGAUAUCCAAGACUUUAACAACAUCCUCAAGAGUUGCAAUUUCUUGAAAAAGAUUACCAAAUUUCUCUUUGCUCCACUAUGUUAAUGCUUUCUUAGUCUUCUUCUGCUUGUUAUGAAACAUGAUAAAUGGGUUACCCUGCACUUUUGUUAUCCAAUUCUACCUAAUUACCUCCAAACAAGUCUUAUACUUCAGCCAAAAGUUCAGAAAUCUAAAAGAUUUGAUGAUCUUUUCCUAGGGAUUAUACAUCUACAAUAGCAAAGGGUUAUGAUCCGAUCCACUACUAGGAAAAUAUUCUACUUCUAUUACCUGGAAUAAAUUUUGCAGCUUGUUAUUCCUUAAUACUCUGUCCAUACUCUCAAAUAUGCAAGCCUCAUCCACUCUCCCAUUCCACUAUGUAAACUUACUCCCUUUAAAACCUGGAUCUUCUAAAUUACAUACACUUAUACAGUGAUUAAAAUCACCUGUAUCUGCUAAUGUAACAGGUAAACCUGUAAGUUUUUCUUCAUUACUAGUUACUACAUUGAAAUCUCCCCCGACAAUCCAUGGUUCAUUCACUGAAUGAGCCAUAUCAGCUAGAGAUUCCUACAAUGCCGUCCUUUUCUGAUUUGUACACUUAGAAUACACCAAGGUUACUACUACUCCAAUUCCUUCUUGAUUAAAGAUCUUCAAAGUUAAUUGCUUUUCAUCUUUUACCACAGUUCAUUGAACUCUUCCAUCACAAAAAGCCCAUAUUUUCCCAGAGGAAUUACUUACUGCCUGCUACAUACCCAAUCUGGUUUUGUACUCCUCAAUGGUUCUGGCAUCCAGGAAAGGUUCCAUGAGACCAAUAAAGUAGAAAUGGUGUCUCUUUUGCAUUGUGAUCAGUCUUGAAAAAGCUUUCUUUGUAUUUACUGAUCUUAUGUUCCACAAUAAUGCUUUCAUCCUAAAUUAUUUUUAGAUUGACUUCUGGUAACCAUUGUAUUAGCACUUGCCUUCUUGCCUUCUUGCGUUUUUUCUUUUUUUUUUUCCCAACUACUGCUUUAAUUAUGUCAAUUUGCUUAAGAGAUAAACCUCCUUCAAUGGCCACUCUAUCAAUAUUGUCUUCUAAAUCUCCCUCAUCCAGGGACUCUUUGUCCUUGUUUGCCAAUUCCAACUGUUGAUCAGCCUGUAUGAUAAAAAGUAGUACUCCUUCCUCUACCUUUUCUAAUUCAUUAGAAUGCUUAACAAAUGCUAAUUCAAUUUAUUUUUGUGUCUGCUCUCCAUCUGCAUGAUCCUCUAUUACUUUUCCCUAAAUUUGCCUCUCAAUCUGCUUAGGAGUAGUAUUAUUAUCUGCAUUCCAUACUCCUUGUUUAACACCAAAUGUAUUUGUAACCCAUUAGCUGGAACAUCUUCAACUGCAUCUUCCCCAACUUCCCCUGUAAUGUGCCCAUAUUUAUCUUUUUUGUAUUUAUUCCUCGUAUGACAUUGUAACUUAUUGUUCCUUCUUUUAUUAUUGCUGAUCUUUGCUGAUACAUCUUUUUCAACAUUGUGACUUGCACUAUCUUUAUUACGUUGAUUAUCUUCUGACAACUGUUUGUCUCUUGCAUCUUCGUAUAGCUCAGGAUGAAUGUUCCAACAGCUAUUUCAUCAUGCCCCUAUAAGUAACACUCUUUAUAGUACUUGGGCAUAUGAUCAUACUGUAUUGCUACCCAUUUUGAUUUAAUUGCUCCUGUUAUGUCAUUCUCUUCAUUAAUUCUGACUCUCUGUGGAAGUUUAUCUACCAAGUCCACCUCAACUUUGACCUUAGCAAAACUAGGUCGUAUUUUAUUUCUCAUUGCUAUGUCGUCUAUCAAAGGUUUCCCAACAGCUGAUGCUAUAGAAAAGACAACCUCUUUUGCAAAAAAUUUGGAGGUAAAACUUACAUUGAAAUCCAAGCUACCUAACUUGAUGUUUCAAUAUCAGGUUCAAUACAAGGGUACCAUUUUUAUGUCCCCAUCUGCCAAUAUUUAUCCUUUGCCUUGAUGUAAUAUGUGGACAUUGAUAAAAGUGUAACAUAAUCUUCAAGAAUUUCCAAAUGGAUUAAAAUGUCUAGCAUCAAGAACACUAAUAGUGCAAUCGCCCUUUAUACCACAUUGACCCUGGAAUAACCUUGCAAAGUUCAUUCACAUCCGGCUUACCAUCUAAAAAUUUACCUAUUAUAGAAUAUUGUAAAUUUUCUUGUACAAUCAAGUGUCGUAUCUCUGAACUUUUCCUUGUGAUACUAGGUUCUCCCUGAAACAUCACUACCGGCUUUGGGAGAACCCUGUUAUUAUUAUUCAAUACCUCCUUAGGUUUCACUUUUUUUGCAUAACUCAUUUUCAUAUCAGUAAUUUUAAUUGCAUUAGCAGCCAUAUUUAUGUGAGAUUUCUCUUUAGGUGGUUUAAGCCCACCGAAAGAGGGUGGAGGCCAUGGUGUCCGAUCGAAUAAUUAGGGUUUGGAGAGAGAAAAAACUGUAUUAAGGAUGGCGUAUGAAUACUAGGUCUGAAACUAUCAUAACUAUCGACAUAACUAUGUGUGUGGUAGAAUAAGGUAAUUCAUCACCAAUGGUGAUUCAUAAGAUACAUCUGUAAUGACCUAAUAUGUGAAACCUUCCAUUUUUAUGUGUUUUGACUAUUUUACCUAUGUAGUUGUUACAUGAUUAUUAGAGGUGGGGAUGGUUGGCACGAUGCAUUUGGAAAUAAUUUGAGAGAGGGAAAUAAUUUGAGAGAGUUUGAGACUCUUCGAGGCUUUAAAAAGCCACUAGUUUGAUUUUGGUCAAUAUCUUGUGUUUUGUGUGCCGAAUGACAAUUUAUAUAGUUCCAGUAGAUUCGAAUAUCAAAUUUGAGUUAGUAGCUGGGUUGGUUCGUGUUCAAAAUAUUUAUUUUGCAUUUCGACCCUCAUUGUGAAAAUUAGUUUAAAAUAAGCUUUUAGAGGUUCCGGGGGUUAGUUUGUUGAAAAUAUUUUUUUUCAAAAUCUAAUAUUUUUAUUGAGUCCAAAACAUCAAAAAUAGCCUAGAAGCAUUGUUCAUUUGCAUUCACCGAAUUCUGAACGAAUUUUGAGUGGUCGAUUGACAAUUUUGCAACUUAGCAAAGUUGUUGAUACAACUGAUAUCUAGUGCAGCUGCUUGAGCGCCCAAGGAACACUUUAGAGGCAUGUCACCACUUUACCGAUCUCACUCCACUUAUGUAGUAGUUGCUUUAGCGGCAUGGUGCCACUUUAGUGAUUAUUUAGUUUCUAAAAUGGCUAUCGCUGAAGUAACAUAUCUAGCCCAUUUUAUAAUUUUGCUUCUUUUUUUGACCUUGAAGGAUCGUGUUUUGAUGAUUUUGAUGGUUUUUUUCACCAUUUGAGCUUGGAUAAGCUUCAAAAUCUUAUUUCAAUAAAUUCUCAUUGAUUAUAUCUUCAAAAACACUCUUUAAUCUUGAUUUUAAAAUGGAUUUUUAGGGUUUGGCAGGUAAAGCUUAAAAAUAAUUUUUCAUUAAUUUGAACUUUGUUUUUAACUCAUUUUUGCUUGGGUUUUCAACUGUAGACUCUUAUAACCUUGGAGAACUUAUUUCUAAAAUAAAAUUUUAGUUUUACCCCUUUUAGUUUUGCACCCAUUUUGCACUUGAUUUAAAUAUGGCCGAUAUAGGUAUCAUUAACUUUCUUUUAACCUGCAGAUGUUAUAUUUGAAUUUUUAAUUGAUUUUGAGAGCGUUCAAAAGGGGAAAACUCCAUGUUGAAGACAUUAGGCUCAGAUUUAAUCACUUUGAGGUAGGUUACUUUCUUUUGACUGGACUGGGUAGUUAAUAAAUAAGUAAAACAUGCUAUGUGUUGGGGAAAUUAGCCAUGGGAGUUGUAUUUCGAGAUUAUUUGUUGUUUUAUGCCCGUUUGGGGGCUUAUAUGCUUAUUUUUGUUGAAUUGAGAUGUCUUAUACUGCGUGUUACCUGUGCGGGGGCUUUAUUUGAUUUCCAUAAGCUUGAAUUUGGCAUUAAUUAUCUUAUUUUUAAUGUGAUGCAUGUGCAGGGGCUUGAAUAGAUACUAUAGGUCUUAUUUAAGCAUUUUUGCCUUUAUCAUGAUAUUCAUGCCCAAUUUAGGGGUUUGAUGUGAUAUUAAUGAUGCCGUACAAGCCUAUUAUUCUGGUGGUGCUGAGUGAGAUCUGAUAUCAUGAAUUACUAAUAUUUUGAGUUGAUUCUUAGCUCACGUAUACAUGUAUCAAGUUGAUUAUUAUCUUUAUACUUACUUGAUUGUGAGUAUUACAUCCUUAUCCAUACAUACCCAUUUAUGAGAUGUUGGUACCAUUAGAAACAUUGAUAUGAAAGAAAAUUGAGAUUUUUAUGAAAACCCUUAAUUUGUAAACAAUAGAUAGAGUGGUAAAUGAGACAUUUUUAUGUAAAACCCUUGAUCCAUGAACACUUUCCAGAGAGUGAAGUUGAGAUUUGAGGUAGUAUAGGGGUUGCAAACCCCCUGUGGAUCCUAUCUUGGGAGCACUGAGGCUCGGUAGGUGUAUGCAAAAAUUCAUGGUAUGAAUUUCAGUCAUUCAUCAUGAUUCCAUCUUCAUUGCAUUGCAUUUUGUGUACUUUUAUGUACUUGACACACAUUUAUUUUCUGUAUACGUUUAGUGUGUAUCUAUUUUUAUUCAUUCCAUAUAAUAUGUAUAUAUAUGUAUGUGUAUGUGUAUGUGUGUGUGUAUAUACAUACAUUAAAACUAUUAGUGGAGAUGGUAUGAGCUACCAUUUGAGAACUUUUCUGCUUGCAGGUUAUGUUCUCAUAACAUCUUUUACUUGUAUUAUUUUCUUCUUUACUCAGUUGUCCCAUGAUACCAACUAAGUAUAAGUGAACUGUGCUCACCCCUACUAUGCCCUUUUGGUAAAGAUACUAGUAUGAAUAAGAGACAUGAUAGUUGAUUUAUGCUAUUUAGAAUUGACAUUAGAGGUACUGGAGAACUCAUGAGUUUGGGGUAGGCUCCAGAUCUCUCCCUAUCUUAGUUGUCUUUAUUUAUCUUUGGAGACAGACUUACGUAUUUUUCAGUUUUUGUAUGUCGUAUUUAGAUGCUCUUAUAUUUGUGACUCUUCUUCUUAGGGUAUAAGGUAUUUUGUUCUGACUUUCUCUUUAUUGUACAUGUGUUGACUUGACUUCAUUCUAGAAAUCUCAUUUUCUUGUUUUUGUUUGUAUUUUUGAUUUUCUUUCGUUUUGGGGAAUCAACUUACUUACCAAGGCAGGGUCUCGGUAAGUGCCAUCAUGACCUCAAUUUUUUAUUCAUGAAAAACUAAUAUCAGAGCCCCAUGUUCGCCACUCGCAUAAGUGUAAUGGCCCAUUAUUUUUUAUUGAUUAUAUCAUAAAAAACAACUCUAAAUCAUGAUUGGGGUUUUUAUUGGUAAAGUUUAAAAGAGUUUUUCUCUAAUUUGGGCCUCACUUUUAACCUGUUUUCACCUGGAUUUUCUCCUGUAGACUACCAUAAUCUUGGGAAAUGUGUUUUUAAAAUAAAGUUACAGUUUUACCCUUUUAUUUUGAACUCAUUUUUUAAAUUCAUUUUGGAUCCGACCUGAAUAUGAAAUAUAUGGAUAUCAUUAGUUUUGUUUUAAUGGGUAGAUGCUAUAUUUGAAUGUUAUAGUUUAUUUUGAGGCUGUAUAUAGGGGGAAUGAUCUACAUUGAAGUACUUUAGUUUAUUCUAGAUAUGAUUUUGUGGGGCUUAUUUUAAUAAUAUAGGAUUUAUUUGAGUAUUGAUUGCCUUUAUCAUGAUAGAUUUACUUGAGUUAGGGGUUAAUAUGAUAUUAAUGAUGUCUUACAUUCAUAUUUAUUUUGAUGGUGCUAAAUUAGCGUUGAAGAUCAUGAAGUAUGGUCAUACUGAGUUUAUUUUUUGCUCACUUAUAUACAUAUAUGUUGGAUGGACUGGAUCAUUAUAUUAAGUUAAUUGUGAGCAUUACAUCCUCAUUCCAUGCAUAUAUAAAUUCAUGAGAUACUAGUACCAUUGUGAAACCACUGUUUUAAAAAGAAAAUGAGACACUUUUAUGAAUACCCUCUCUGUGAACAUGAGCUGAACUGGUGAGCUGGGAUUAAGAUAUGAGAUAUAGUAUAUAGGUUGCGAAUCCCUAUGGAUCCUACCUAGGAGUUGCGAGAUCAAUGGGUGUAUAUAGAAAGUCAUGCGAUGGCUUUCACCAUUCAACCCAUCUAUAUUGUAUUGCAUUUCAUCAAAGCACGUUUCUUUCAUGAUUUAUUUAUUUUCCUUGACUUGUGCUCGUUUCAGUAUCCUCAUGUAUGUUUUUUCUAUUUUUGUUUCUAUUUAUAUAUUUGAAUUGUUAGUUGAGACAAUGCGCGCUACAGUUUGAGACUUUUUCUUUUACAUGUGACGUGCUCAUAAUUUUCUUUUCUUAUAUUAUUUCCUACUUUUCUUAGUCAACCUAUGAUAUUAGUUGUGUAAAAAUGGACUAUACUCACCCUACUGUGUCCUUUGCUGCAGAUCUGAGUAUGAGUAGAGGAUGCAAUAGCUGAUUUCGUGCAAAUUGCAGCGACGUUUGAGGUAUGGUAAUCUAUGGAUUUCAGAGCUGACUCCAGGCCUCCUCUUAUUUUACUUUGUCUUUAUUUCAGUUUUAGGGGAAAAUAUGUAUUUUUAUAUUUUAGUUAUGUACUAAAUGCUCUUACACCAUGACACCAGAUUUUUGGGACUUAUGAGAUUUAUUUUAGACUCUUAUUUUAUUAUGUUCUAUAUUGGCUUGACUUUAUUCUAGAAGACUCACCUUGGUUUAUGUUAUUUUCGAUUUUAUUUUUUCUGUAUUAGUUUGGGUGAUUAACUUACUCAUCAAGGCUGAGCCACAAUUAGUGCUCUCAUGACCACUUUUUGAAUCAGGAUAAAUUGAUAUUAGAGCAUCCAGGUUCACCGGUCUCAUAAGUGUGAGAUUAAAAUGUCCAGUUGAGUCUCGAGGAUCGGUACAUAGACAUUUACAUCUAUCUUUGAGAGCCUAUAAGAUAUCUGUAGGAAGUAUUAAAACACCCUGGGUUUUGACCCUUAGAAAAUAUCCUGGAAUUCUUGUCUCUAAACCCAAUAUGACUCAUGGGUAUGAUUCAUAUGUUGGGGUACGAAUAGUAUGGUCUGGUCAUAUGCCGACCGGUGUGGGUUUUUGGGAUGGAUUUUGGUCACUGGAGUGGGUACGACUUGAAUGGUACGAGUUGUAUGAUUGGAUACGAAUCAUUUGGUUUAGGUUUUCCUUAGCUAAAUCUUAAACCUGGUCGCUUAAGUUGAAUCUAAGUACGUGUAGCUCACCAUGAGCCAUAAGUUAGGGUACGAAUCAUACCAGAGAUUUGUAUGGUGGACAUUGUUCAAACCUUCUGUGAUUCUGGCCUUCCAGGGAAACGAGUGAAGGGUACAGAUCUUGUGUUUUCAAUACGACUUAGGGAGGAUGAGUCAUUCACUGGACAGUUUUUGGUCCAAGGGUUGAGGUUUAGGAUAUAAGUGAUAGGUACCACUUGUAUCCAAGGGUAUGAAUAGUAAGGGUUAGUCAUACCGUUGUGAUGGGAUUUUUGUGCAACUUAAGUGGGGGUAUUUUGGACAUUUUUCCACUUACCCUAAUAAGGCCCCAUGACUUCUAACUCACUUGGGAGGCUAUUUACCCUAUUAUUCUAAUCAUUAACACUUAGCAACUCUUUCUAAACACUCUAUAAUUCUCUCAAGAGCUUUUGGGCAAGGAAGCUAGGGUUUCAACUAGAGGACUAAUUUGGGGGAUCUUGUUAGUGGUUUCUCCCCAUCUAAUUUGUCAAUUAAGGCAUGUUAACUUUCCUCACUAUUAGUUCCAACAAAUUCAUGGGUUUUAUGAAUGGUUUUCAUGAUUUUAUUGUUUUAUGAUUUUGGGUUUUCAACUAUGAUUUGGGGGAUUUGAAUAUAAAUGAUUGGUUAUGGUUUUCCACGAUUUUAAUUAUGUAUUUACAUGCUUAAUUAGUGUUUUUAGACAAUUGGAUUGCAUGGGAAUGGUUAAUUAUAGUUGUAAUUAGUUUUGGUUAUACAACAACAACAAACCCAGUAAAUUCCCACCAAGUGGGGUCUGGGGAGGGUAAAAUGUAGGCAGUCCAUAUCGCUACUUCCGAAAAAGUAGCGAGACUGUUUCUGAUCGACCCCCGACUUUUGGUUAUAAUAUUCCCUAAAUGUGUUUGGCAAAAUGCCAAUAAGGAUGUUUUCAUUGCAUUGAUUAUUUUUAAUGGAACUCUUGCUUGUUUUGAACUUGGUAAAAGAAUUCUACAUAGUUUAAACAGUUUGGAAAGGUAAAAAGGCUAAAUGGUUAUGCUUGUAGGUUACAUAGAAAUCCCCCAAGUGGUUUAAUAUGGUUAAUAGAAGGGUAUAUAGAAUCCCUUAAACCAAUAUAUGGUCGGCUUAAGAAAAAACUUGCAAGUAUAGUCGGUAUGACGAUACUAGUACUAAUGGCCUGGGUUAAUAAAUGGUAAAUAGAUUGGUUGGUUGCUUGGUAAUAGUUUUAAUUGGGAAAUAAUGGUAGGGUGUGUAGCAAAUUGAUUGAAGGUAGAGGUCCCAGGGGGACCAAAACGGGAAACUCAUAUUCGCCAAUGUGAGUUUUGGUCCAAGUGACAGUGCGCAUGAUGUCAUACUUUUUAUUUGGGGGAUGUACUAGUCAUCUCAAGUUUUAUUCCCUGGUCAUACGGCUUCACUCACUGAAGCCCUUUCAUCAUGGGGAGCUGAAUCCAUAUAGCCCGUAGGUGGUUUAAGACAACUAAGAUACAAAACUCAGGUAAAGGUUGUAAUGGCAUGCUAAACUUGAUUUUCUUUUCCCGGCAGGUAUAUAUAUAUGUAUGGUUUGUGUGCAUAUGGAUGGUUUCACUUGAUUUUAUAAAUGAUAUUAUUUUAUCCUUAUCCCAAGUUCAUGCUAGCGUUCACCAGCUAACUCUUCUUCGGGUGGCUGUAUACCCACGCUAUGCAGGAAUCGAUUGUUUUACUCCUCCUACAUAGUGAUUGACUC
rnacentral:lncRNA from 1 species